UACGUAGGGGGCAAGCGUUGUCCGGAAUCAUUGGGCGUAAAGCGCGUGUAGGCGGUUCGGUAAGUCUGCUGUGAAAGUCCAGGGCUCAACCCUGGGGAUGCCGGUGGAUACUGUCGGACUAGAGUACGGAAGAGGCGAGUGGAAUUCCCGGUGUAGCGGUGAAAUGCGCAGAUAUCGGGGAGGAACACCAAUUGCGAAGGCAGCUCGCUGGGACGUUACUGACGCUGAGACGCGAAAGCGUGGGGAGCAAACAGG
rnacentral:rRNA from 1 species